AGUCAUUAUUCGGAUUAUUCUAUAAAUUUCUACAUACAUGGACUACUAAAUUAAACUGGCUAGAUCAAUCACACGUGAUCAUCGACUCACCAAGCAUAGAGGUUUAGCAAUAAGAUUGAAUUGUCGUCGUGCAAAACUUUUUUUUUUUUUGGACUUUGCUCUAUGAAUCCUAUGCGACAAAAUUUUCGUCGCUCAAGGUUUUACGCAACAAAAUCAUACUUUCUACAACAAAUCUAAUUUCAUCACGCAAAGUGUUUUUGCACUAUUAAAUUAAAAAGUUUGCGCAACAAGGAAGAUUUUGUCGCGCAAAGCAUUCUUAGGUUGCACAAAAACUAUGGUGACCAGAAAAUCGUUGCGCGGAUUUUUUUCGUGCAAAGGUCGUGAAAAAAGACAUUGCAUGACGAACAAUUUCAAAUUUGUCGCCCAUCUAAACAAUUGCGCGAUGCUUUAUUACUCGUCGCGCUAAAGUUAUAUGGACCAAGGUUUUCGUUGUACGAUAUAAAAGGGUACAAGUGCGCUUUGUGAAUAGUUUGUCUCAAAAAGUUUGAGCGACAAAAAAUGUAAGAGGUGUGUGGUAAUGCGCGAUGAAGUAGUAAGACGCGCUUAAUUUUGCGCGGCGACCGAUAGGAGUCGCGCAAGUGUAAUUUUUAAUAA
rnacentral:lncRNA from 1 species